AGUGCUGUGCGACAGAGAGAGGAUGAAACACAACAAGGAGCGCAGGGCAGGGAGGAUCUCCGUAGGGCUGAAGCCGGAGCUGGCACUUCACCUGCCUAACAUGGAAUGCUGCUUCUUAAAUGGCGUUAGAUUGGAUUCUGGUGAAUUAAGGACUGUUCACAAAUCUGGAACAGAAACAAAUGAUCACUCCGUAACAAGAACUCCAAGGAACAAGUGAUGGAAUGAGUGCCCAUCCUCUGCUCUUACCUCCGGGACCAGCAGCCAAGCAAACAACAGUCUGCCUGUACCCCUGCAAGCUUACUGGAGCCAGGGACAACCAGGCAGGAGUCUAACAAAGCUGUCCUCUCAGAAGCUUCAUCCCGCAGCUGAUGAAACCAGAUACAGAGACCCACAGCCAAACAAAAGGAGGAGCUCUGGGAGUCUUGUGGAAGAGUGGGAAGAAGUAUUAAGGGAGACAGAGAGGUCAAGAACACCAUAAGAAUACCUAAAGAGUGAACUAACCUGGGCCAAUGGGGAUGUCACAGGGACUGAACCACUAACCAAAGAGCAUGCGUGGGUUACUCCUAUGUAGCACACGCGGAGCACUACCAAGUUCUGGGACUGAAACCAUGCAUCAUUAUGGCUCUUCAAGGUUAAAUUCACAGGAUGCAAAUAUAUCUAUGACUAGCUCUCCGCCAACACCCUAUGAGGGGUCAGAAGAGGGGCUGAAUCUCUGGCGGUGGGUGGAGCUACAGACUGUCGUGACACACCGUGUGGGUGCUGGAAAUUAAACAGGGACCUCUGGAAGAACAGCAAGUACCCUGAACCACCGAGCCUUCUCUCCAGCCCCAGGGUUCUUAUUUUAAUAUGUUUAUAAGCUAGGUCCGAGGUGCUCUGCCAUGCUACAAAUAUCCAAGUUCCCAAGUGAUUCUGACAAGAGAUGAAAGACGCGCUUUACAAAAAUGAUUUUAAAAUAAAACAAAAUAACAACAAAAAUACAC
rnacentral:lncRNA from 1 species